rnacentral:rRNA from 1 species
GACGAACGCUGGCGGCGUGCUUAACACAUGCAAGUCGAACGAAGAGCGAUGGAAGCUUGCCUCUAUCAAUCUUAGUGGCGAACGGGUGAGUAACGCGUAAUCAACCUGCCCUUCAGAGGGGGACAACAGUUGGAAACGACUGCUAAUACCGCAUACGAUCUAAUCUCGGCAUCGAGGAUGGAUGAAAGGUGGCCUCUACAUGUAAGCUAUCACUGAAGGAGGGGAUUGCGUCUGAUUAGCUAGUUGGAGGGGUAACGGCCCACCAAGGCGAUGAUCAGUAGCCGGUCUGAGAGGAUGAACGGCCACAUUGGGACUGAGACACGGCCCAGACUCCUACGGGAGGCAGCAGUGGGGAAUCUUCCGCAAUGGACGAAAGUCUGACGGAGCAACGCCGCGUGAGUGAUGACGGCCUUCGGGUUGUAAAGCUCUGUUAAUCGGGACGAAAGGCCUUCUUGCGAAUAGUGAGAAGGAUUGACGGUACCGGAAUAGAAAGCCACGGCUAACUACGUG